UACGUAGGGGGCAAGCGUUGUCCGGAAUCAUUGGGCGUAAAGGGCGUGUAGGCGGUUUGGUAAGUGAGAUGUGAAAUCCUCCGGCUCACCCGGAGACCUGCAUCUCAAACUGCCCGACUAGAGUAUGGGAGAGGACAAGGGAAUUCCUGGUGUAGCGGUGAAAUGCGUAGAUAUCAGGAGGAACACCGGUGGCGAAAGCGCUUGUCUGGCCCAAUACUGACGCUGAGGCGCGAAAGCUAGGGGAGCAAACGGG
rnacentral:rRNA from 1 species